UUAAGUUAAAAGAACUGUUUUUUGCCUUUCAAAGUAAAAUUUCUAUGAUCAUGUUUUUUUGAUUGUUGUGUCAAAACAGUUAUAGACAAGUUUGAAACAUUUCACACAUGUUUUAGUGCUUUGGUAAGCUACAUUAUGAGUCUACAGCAUGAUGUUAGCUCAAAUCUGAUGGAUGAUGCAUUUUUUCCAAAAUGGUGGGGUUGGGGUGAUUUGUGCCCAAGGGCCUGGGUUAAGUUGUGCCAGUGGCACAACUCACCCCCACUUAUAAAUAAUGUUUUAAACAUAUUAUUUUAUUGUAAUUGUGCAUUUUAUUCUUACAUUUUAUCACUAAAUCUAUGUGACAUUCUUAAUUUUAGACCAAAAAUAGAAGUAUACCAUCAUGCCACAGAGUUAUAAGAGGAAGACAGGCAGGGCAUACUGUACGGAGAAGGAGCUGGAAGAACAUAUAAAGGCACUAGGAGUAAUGUUUCAUGGUCUAAGUCCCAUGAAAUGCUGUGAACUUCACACACACACACACUGACCAGGAAGCCUGGGAAGGAGAGGGGGAACAUCAUCUCUAGGUAUGACUUCCCUCCACACAAGAUCUACAACAUGGAUGAAACUAGUGUGACAAUGGAAAAUGACCUUUAAUUGAUGUGCUCGUGUGGCACAAUAGGCUUGUAGAAAAUUGGCCUUUGAUGUUGUAAAAUAACUUUAAAUAAACCUUAAAUGAG